GUAACAUUUUCACUAUUAUACUGGAUUUUCCUGAAACAAUGAUACUUUGUCCAUCCAACAAAUUCAAAAGCAGCCAAGCAAGGUUCCAUGAAGAGAGUAAAUCAUUCACCCGAUUAUCAUCUUGACAAACACUAGAAGAAAAAAUUCAGCUGUUCCCUUCACAAUUCAAAUCAGCAAUAAUGAAUAAAGCAACACUUCUCUCUAGUUUCUUGUAUUUAAGACAAAAAAUGAGCAAGCUGCUGUGGUAUAUAUCAUGGUAUAACAGAGAAGAUGAAAUCCAGUUGACUUCUACUUACGAUACCCCCCGCGUCCAGCAGGCCUUGAUAGAUAUACUGCCAAUAAAAUGAAGCUCUUCUGAUUACCUGACUGAUCCAAAUUCAAAACUAUGAACUAGUUGCGCUUCUUUUCUAGACUUGCUGCUACACGACGUUGCCUUUGCUUCCAGGCAGGCAUCUUACCAGGGAAAGCCCACCUUAACAACCUUUCCCACGCAUAGCAGACCAAAAAUGUCAUGAAUGCCCAAAUCAGCAGCUUAUCUCUCAACCCUUUUGGCAUAGGAACUAACUUCAACCAGUCAUUUAAGUCCCUAAACAAAUCUGAGGUAAUAACUGUGAAGAAACCCACCGCAGCCAAAAGUGCGUAUAAGAAUGGUUUGUUUUCAGGUAUGCUCUGGUUGAAAGGGUGGCCCAUGUAGUUCACAGCAAACGUUGCUACCUGUAGCAUCAAACCCACCAUGUAUGAAACCGUAUUAACAAGGUUUGGAUGAAACUCUGAGUCUGGCUCAAUGCAUUCGUCCGGCAUGUACUUGGUAGCUUCAUUAACAGAGGAAAUUAAGAAAAGUAGGUGGAUAGCAAAUUGUCCGAGGAGAGAGAGGAAGACAUAGGCACAGAAAAUGUUAGGAUGGGGUCGCUCAGCUGAAAGUGUCGGAAGGGGCCGAGCAUGUGAGAUAAACAGAAAGAAGGCUGCAGUGAAGACCCCACUGAUUGUAGCUUGAAUAUCACCCAACUUGACACCAUCUAAAUACAUUACACUCAGGACAUAGGCAGUAGCAAGGCAGUUUAGUCCAAGUAUCUUAAACAUCUGCAGGGUGGUUACUAGAGUACUACGACCUUGACGAAUGAUAUCAGUGGUAGGGCAGACAGAAGCAUGUUUUGCAGUGAAUGGUGAUGCCAUUGAUGCGUCCCCAAGUUUGACAAUUGGUGCCUGACCAUCACCUCCUCCCUCAUUAAGCUCAUCCAUGAGUUUCUUAAGCUUCUGCCGCUGCAUCUCUGCAGGUGUAAGAUGGCGAUUACCAGCUUGGCUGCUGCUGGUAGCUUUACUUUUUGAAGCACCUUCACCAUUUUCUGUAGCAGAUUUAAGUUUCUUCAACUUGGCAGGUUUUGCAGUAUCAUUUUUAGAUGAUCCAUCAGAAGACUUUUGCCCUUUAGGGGGAGGUAUUGCAUUAAGUAGAGCUACUCCCACAUGUGCCUGCUUUAGAGCUCCAACAUCAUUAGUCCCAUCACCACACAUCAAUGUCAUUCUUCCCACGGAUUUAAAAGUGGUUAAUAUAAGUUCUUUUUGCUCAGGGGCAACCCUUGCAAAUACCUUUACAUAAGGAACAACUUUGGGGACAGCAGAUGUCUGCUGCAACAUCUCGAUGCACUCGCCUCCAAUACAGAGAUCGUAAGCUUCUGAUAAAGCUCCAACUUCAUUUUCACUGUAGCUGACUAUAUGGGUCUCAUCAGGAGAAACCCAGGCAUAUUCUUCCUUGUUCUUAGCACGUCCCAGAAUCAGUGCUGGUUUUGAGAUAAUAUGGACUUGUUGAGCCACGUGGCAAGCUGUCAAAGCUUGAUCACCAGUAAUCAUGACCAAGUCAUGAGAUGAUUGCUUUAAUUCAGUCAAGACAGUGGCUGAGUCUCCUCUGAUGGGGCAAUUGAACACCGCAAAACCAGCAAAAGUAAGCCCACUUUCCACUACAUCUCUCUCCAGGCUUCUGGCUUCACUAACUGUCAUAUCUGGCAGAGACUUAAAAGCCAGAGCCAAAACACGUGAUCCUUGACGGGUGUAUUUUUUAUAGGUUGGCACGUAGGAUUGUGGCACAUCAAUGAGCCUUUCCUGUAUUGUCUCAGGUGCACCCUUGACAAAAGCAAAAAAUUGCUCCUGAACACGAACAACAACAGCCAUUCUUUUCAAGUGAGAAGCAAAAUGAUGUCGCUGCACAAUUUGAA
rnacentral:misc_RNA from 1 species